rnacentral:rRNA from 1 species
UACAGAGGUCUCGAGCGUUAGGCGGAAUCACUGGGCUUAAAGCGUGUGUAGGCGGAUCGUUAAGUACCUUGUGAAAUCCCACGGCUUAACCGUGGAACUGCUUGGUAUACUGGCGGUCUUGAGCCAGCUAGGGGCUACCGGAACAAAUGGUGGAGCGGUGAAAUGCGUAGAUAUCAGGAGGAACACCAAUGGCGAAGGCAGCACUCUGGGACGGUACUGACGCUGAGACGCGAAAGCGUGGGGAGCAAACAGG